GAUGAACGCUGGCGGCGUGCUUAACACAUGCAAGUCGAACGGAAAGGCCCAAGCUUGCUUGGGUACUCGAGUGGCGAACGGGUGAGUAACACGUGGGUGAUCUGCCCUGCACUUCGGGAUAAGCCUGGGAAACUGGGUCUAAUACCGGAUAGGACGAUGGUUUGGAUGCCAUUGUGGAAAGUUUUUUCGGUGUGGGAUGAGCUCGCGGCCUAUCAGCUUGUUUGGGGGGUAAUGGCCUACCAAGGCGUCGACGGGUAGCCGGGCUGAGAGGGUGUAAGGCCAGCGUGGGGCGGAAGAACGGGCCAGGGCGCGACGGGGGGGAAGAAGGGGGAAAGAUGCACAAUGGGGGGAAGGCGGGUGGAGGGGAGGCGCGGGGGGGAUGACGGCGUUCGGGGUGUAAACUCCUGUCGCUAGGGACGAAGCGGUUUUGUGACGGUACCUGGAGAAGAAGCACCGGCUAACUACGUG
rnacentral:rRNA from 1 species